ACGGGGCGCAGCAGGCGCGAAAACUUCACACUGCAGGAAACUGUGAUGAGGGAACUCCAAGUGUGUGCAUUUUAUGUACACUUUUCUGAACUCUUAAUCGGUUCAGGAAUAAGGGCUGGGAAAGACCGGUGCCAGCAGCCGCGGUAAU
rnacentral:rRNA from 1 species